rnacentral:rRNA from 1 species
CCUACGGGAGGCAGCAGUAAGGAAUAUUGGACAAUGGUCGCAAGACUGAUCCAGCCAUGCCGCGUGCAGGAUGACAGCCCUAUGGGUCGUAAACUGCUUUUGUGCGAGAAAAAACCCCCUCUACGUGUAGAGGGCUGAUUGUAUCGUAAGAAUAAGGAUCGGCUAACUCCGUGCCAGUAGCCGCGGUAAUACGGAGGAUCCAAGCGUUAUCCGGAUUCAUUGGGUUUAAAGGGUGCGUAGGCGGAAUGAUAAGUCAGUGGUGAAAGCCUGCAGCUUAACUGCAGAACUGCCAUUGAUACUGUCAUUCUUGAGUACAUUUGAUGUGGGCGGAAUGUGUCAUGUAGCGGUGAAAUGCUUAGAUAUGACACAGAACACCGAUUGCGAAGGCAGCUCACAAACUGUAACUGACGCUGAGGCACGAAAGCGUGGGUAUCAAACAGGAUUAGAUACCCUGGUAGUCCACGCUGUAAACUAUGAUUACUCGAUGUUUGCGAUACACUGUAAGCGUCCAAGCGAAAGCGUUAAGUAAUCCACCUGGGAUACGGCUCGCAAGAGUAGAACUUGAAAGAUUGGACGGNGNGAGAGNGCGAGGAGACGACGACGGGAGGAGG